UUUUUUCCCCUGGGAAUGCUAAACUAGUUUCUACAGAAACAGAGCAUAGCAAAGGCUUGAACAGUUUUCCAGUGAGAUCAGUCAAGUCUUAAUCUCCAUGACGCCAAAAUACUUGGCUGCAGAGUGGAAAAUUCAGUCAAUUACCAGCUGUUUUGUCUCUGUGUGUCCCCCAAUCUAUGUGACUGUUCGGAGACAGGUUUCAGAUUGUUUGGCUGGUGCCAAGGAGACGCCAUCAGAGUUGGCAGCUUUCCCCAAUAACAAAUUUUCUUUACACUUCCUCAACUCCCUUCACUGGGACAGCUACAGCCUGAAGUUCUUUGUCAUCUCAUUUCAACAACAGUUGCUUCAAAAAGACAAAUCAGGGACUGUAUGAAGCAAAAGGGGAGAGAAUAGUCUCAGAGAUGGAUUCCUACUGCAUCUGUUAUCUGUCCGCGGUGUGGAGGGGAGUUACAUCAUGGAGAAUUAGGUCCACGGCAACAGUCCCUCAUUACUCCUUCUGGCUUCUGAGAAUUAAAACAGUCAGCAUGAUCUGCUUCUAGCUAUGGUGGAGUGGAUGAUAUCAGAUUAAUCCCCAAUGAGAACAACUACAAAAGCUGGAUGAAAUACAAAGACCAACUGUUGGAAGGCACUGGAGAACAACCAAAGCAUCCAGGGCCCCACAGGGUCCAAGAUCCUGAAGACACAGGAAAUCCAUUGAAAUGGGCCUGGUAGUCUGUGCGCAGCUUCCCCGCGAGGCAUUUGCUGACUUCUAAGUUGUGUGUAUACAGGCCUAAUGUCACAGGUUGGGUUCCCUGAGAGAGAGAGAUUAGGAAGCAUUAUGCUCACUAGGGGGUGUUUUAGGAUCAACCUAUGUGGAAAGGAGAGGAAUGAAGUAGGACUGUGUUGCAGGCUCAGCCUCUCCCGACCCCACAGUGAGCUCUAGAGCUAGCAGAAUGCUUCAAAAUUGUCCUGAGUUGCUGCAGAGGGUGCAGGCUGCCCCUAAAAGGAGGUGGACCUCAGGAGAAGCAAUUUUCUUCAGCAGAGGCAAUCCCCAAAGAGGGCUGAUGAUUGAAGACUGCCUCCUGACAAGACUCCCGACAGUUGGGGAGAAUAAGCCUUUCAUUCCUGGAGGGGGAUUUGGCCAGUCCGUCACAGCAUCCAUCACACCUAGAGACUGAGAAACCAAGCAGGAAUCAGCCUCCAAGGGGUUAAAAAAGCUAAGCAUUAACUUCAGUAGUCUUAUGGUGCCAGAGACACAGAAAUUGGAGUUCAGGUUGUGCCAUGAAGGAAGGACACUAAUAAACACCCAAGCAUUCAGUCGAGAACUUGCAAGAGAAAACCUGAAAUAGGCAACUAGCUUUUGACUAGAUGAAGAUGAUCAAAUACUCUACCAGCCUCCCAGAAGAAAAUUAAAUCCUCUCUGAAAGAAGGUAACAUCAUCCAAACUCUCUAUGAUUUUUCAUUCACAAUGUCCAACAUUCAAUGAAAAAAUUACCAGACACACGAGGAGACAGCAACAAAUGGAACAAAACAAAGCAGAAAGAGAUAAAAUAGAAAUACUGAGGUGAUCUGGAUGUUAGAGUUAACAGACACGGAAUUCUAAAUAGCUGUGAUCAACAGUUCAAGGAAAAAAAUGGAAAAGAUGGAGAAUUUCACUGAAGAACUGGAAUCUAUAAGAAGGAAUCAAAUGGAACUCCUAAAACUGAAAAACACAAUCACAGAAAUUAAGAAUUCAGUUGUUUGAACAAUGCUAUUACACAGCAGAAGACAGGUUCAGUGACUUGAAAGAGGAAUGAGUAAAAAACCUCCAGGGAGAAGCAGCACAGAGGGGGAAAAAUGCUCUUUUAAGCUUAACAGAUAUAUAGGAACCAGUAAACAUGUCUGAAAUACAAGAAAUUGGAGUCCUAAAUGGACAGAUAGGAGGAAAUAGAGAAGAAGCAGUAUUUGAAGAAAUAGAAGCUGAAACAUUUUCAGAGCUGACAGAGUUAAGAAGCUUGGGUUAUGCCACUUUGGAAGACGCCUGUGGGGCUGGGUGCUGAGUCCUUCAACAGCUGUUAGUAUAAGAUGCACCUCUCAGGACAGCGUUAGGCCCAGGUCAUCGCACUACUCCCCACUUCCUCCUUAUAACGAUGUCAUCAGCAGAUGAGGAGACUAAGGCUGGAACUUAAUUUCUCGUCCAAGGUCACCAGCCACUGUAGCUGGGACUGAACUCAGAUCUGCUGGACUUCAGUCCUCUGCUACGAACCACUCUGCUGUCCCCCUUCUUGGAGUGGCACGUUUAUUAGUUUUACUCCUGAUACGUUGCUUAGAUAAUCCCUACAGAGAAAACAAGACUUCUCAUGGGGGCAGGCAGGCUUGGGGAAGACAACUCCAGGAAAUAUUCUGGAGGACAGGAACACCUGGCUCGGUGCCCCAGGGGUAAGUAGGAGGCCCCAAGAGGGUGACAGUUGAGGAAAGACAGCAGCAGACGGGAGGAGAUUCCAGAGGAGAAAUGGAGGCCCAUGCAUUUGAUCCUCUCAAUGUUUCUGAGUUUUUUUCUGACAGCUGGUCUUGUGUUCAGGAAGAAGAAACUCUUUUCUGCCUUCGCCUCCCUGCUGCAUGACCCCCUCAUCCUUCCAGCACUCAGAACUCUGCUACAGUCUAGUUCAGCCACAUUAUGGCUUAAAUAGGCUUAAAUGAGUUGACCUGGGGGCCACCCUCCACUCUAACACAGCUUCCAUAGGGACAUGUGUUCUGAUUCCAAUGGCCCACUUACAAGUGACCUAUGAACACAUCAGUCUUAAGUCAGCAUCUGCCUGUACAUGAGAAGUAUUAGUACCAGAUGAUAACUUCAGUCUCAUUGCAAAGCGGACACGAUUAACCACCAAAGGAGCGUGGGAAACCAAAGGCAUUGGAUUCUAAAGAGACAGAGAGAGAAUCUUGCAGGUUGCAGGGGGUAGGAGAUUUCCCUGAAGGCCAAGGGAGUGUCGGGUCAGCUAUGAAACAUGGGGGGGGUUCUGACAGACCCAAUAAAGGACAGCAAAGAAGAGCAGCUGUGCAGGUACAAGACUGAGAGGGGCAAGGGGUUCGCUGUCACCUCUGGGGAGCUUAGGCGUGGUCCUCUGCAGGCCGCGGGGCACUGUCUUCCCUGGUUUCUGAUCAGACAUGGGAGUGGGGCUCUGACUGAGCCUGGCACACCAUGGGCAGCAGUUUGCUUUGCUGUUGAGCGUGUGGUAGAGGCUGCCAUGGCCUCCUGGGCCCUCCUCCACGCCUGCCCCAGGAGCCUGGCUCCUUCUGCCCGCUCACCACAGCCAAGACUCCUGCUCAUGUUGGUCUGGUUCCAGAAAUAUUUAUGAGGCCUGGUCAGGUGCCAUCCCGUGCACUACACACUGAGGAGAUGGAGGACAGUAAACGGCAGCCAUACCUUCCAGUCUCCUGGGAAGAGGAUGGCAGGGUGGGAGGUGCCUACCAGCUGAGCGUCAGGGCCAGUGCAGCCAGGGGAGCUGCUGGAGAGAAAAGGAACGAGAGGGAGGGAACGUUACAUGAGGGAAGCCCAGAGUUUCAGGGCGCGGGAGCCUGGGGACGGGAGCCCUGCCCCUCCUCCACUUGGCCUUUCUCACCCACCUCCUGAGGAAAGACGCAGGGCAGUGGUUCAGCUCCCACGCUCGAGAGAGGGGAGCACGGCCGGGCAGAGUCUAGCUUCUCACCCAGGAAUUUAAGUUUCGCGUCCUACACUCACCAGCUUUUUCUAAAUGUUUCCUCAUCUUUAAAGUGGAGAUGACAGUAGAGUCGGUUCUGCCACGAUAUGACAUACGUGUUCCUAAAAAACACUGCUCUCUGCAAAAUCCCACAAUAAAAACUGCAGGGCUUAUGGGGAAAAUGAGGUUAGAGGCAUGACACCCAAGAACUUUGUCAAUGAUGCGUAAAGUAAGAUAGGAACCUAAUAAAAACAGUAGCGUGGAUUAACACACAUUCAAUGGCUAAGAAAUACAUCACUGACUGCUACAAAUAAGCGUGGCGCUCCACCUUGUGGGAACGGGCGUGGCUCUGUGAGUUACUGUGAAGUCUGGAGGGGGUACCUGCAUUGGGGGGAGAGCGGGACACCAGACGCCAGAGUGCUCCUGGUCCGUGGGGAGCCGAGGGGGCAGGUGGGUGUGUGAGGUGCAGCCUCCUGCAUUCGCCCAGUUUUGUGUGGGUGGGACAGAAUCACACAGAAGCAAAUGCAAAAUUCACGUUAUGCUUAAAUUGCUCCCUAAUAUGUCAAUUAUUUUGGAAUAAAUUCUCAUUUUUAAACAAGUGUUACAGCAGAACUGGCUGCACUAACUACCUCAUGGGGGGAUGUCAUGAGGACUAAACUGGAUAAUUCAUCUAAGUGUUGAACCCAGUGUCUCAUAAGUAGUAAAUAAUUGUUGUUAGUGUAAUGAAUAUACAUCAAAUUAUUAUAUUUCCAAAAAUCAACAAGUGAAUCAAUGAAUGCAAGAAUGGCCGGCUCUGGAGUAGAGAGUGGGGGGUGGGGGGAUUUAUCUCGGGGAAGAGAAACUUCCUUGAGGAGUCCUAGCAGCAGGCUGUGCUGUGUCCUGGGACCAGGAGGACAGCCCGCAGGCUCCUGCCCCGUUAACAUGAGAAUGGUCCAGGGACACAUCUACCCACCAUCCCACAGGCCUCGCUGCCUCGAAUUUAUCUGUUGUAGAUCAGGAAUUUGGCAGGGCUCGGCCAGGUGAUUCUUCAUCAACAGAGCUGACUCCGUGUUACUCAGCUAGCAGACGGGCUGGUCUGGAGGGUCCAUGACCCCGUCAUUCACACAUCUGUUGCCUUCGCGGGGAUGGCUGGGACUGCCAGUCAGCCCCCACACGUACCUCCCCAGGAGAGUCAGACUGCUUUUGGGUUCCAAGGGCCAGGAAGUGGAUAUUGCAAGGCUCCUUCUUACCUGACCUUGGAAGUCCCAGAACAUCAUUUCUGCUGCAUUCUAUUGGUCAAGCCAGUUAGCCCAUCCCAGAUUCAAGGGCAGAAGAGUUGGAGUCUAAGUUUCCAUGGGAAGAAUGGCAAAGACCCUGGGGCCACCUUUGAUCUACCACACUGCCCUUGAAAACUCAGCUCCAGCACCGUUGCCAGAACAUGUGGGUGGAGCCUUCUGCUGUGGUCAGCCCUCCUUGGGUGCUCCCACCAUUUACUGUGCUUAUUUCUGCCAUAAUAUGUGGCACUCUGUGCUGCACACAUUGGUUCACCUAAUGUUGUCCGGGGGCUGCAGCCUCCUAUGGAGUAGGGACUAGGUGUCAUUCCAGGCUAGGAUCUGGAGUGUUCUUUUAUGGUGUCUGGCACUUGAAAGGCCCUUAAUAAAGCUUGAGUAAAUGGAUGAACGAAUAAACUAACAAACAAAAAAGGACCACAUCUCCUUCUUGUUCAAAGAUUCUGGUGCCUCAAGAGCAGGAACCACGGCUAUUCCCCUUGUGGUCACAGCUCAUAGUACAGUGCCCCCGACACUUAGUCAAUACUUAAUCACCGUUUGUUGGAGACCCAAACACAUAUGUCUGCACACUGGGCCCCGCUCUCCAGCUGGGGGGAGAGGCCUGUGCUGUGGUCCAGCAGGAUGAGGAGCAGAUUUUCAGCCGUAGCCUGAAGCUGAGGCACGUUGAGCUGAAAUCAAGCCCUGAGCGCCGGGACCUCC